rnacentral:lncRNA from 1 species
AUUUUUAGUAGAGAUGGGGUUUCACUGUGUUGGCCAGGCUCGUCUUGAACUCCUGACCUCAUGAUCCGCCUGCCUUGGCCUCCCAAAGUGCUGGGAUUACAAGCGUGAGCCACCAUGCCCGGACUAGUUUUGUUAUUUUUAUGCAGCUACAAGGAGGAAAAUGAUACAUACCUUUCAUUACUGAAGAUGGAAAGAUGUGUAAGUUAGAUAAGAGAAAAACAGAUCCUGAUGACCUUCCUUCCAACAUAAACCACCUGUCAGAAGACGGUGCAGGGAGACUCAGGCCAAAGGGAAGGUAUCUGUCAGCCUCUCCUCUGACUAAAACUCCCCUAGGAGGGGCAGAGGUCAGUGUAAAAUAUGUAUUUUUUGAGACAGAGUCUCACAUUGUCACCCAGGCUGGAGUGCAGUGGUGCGAUCUCAGCUCACUGCAACCUUUGCCUCAGCCUCCCUAGAAGCUGGGAUUACAGGGCAUGCACCACCAUGCCUGGCUAAUUUUUGUAUUUUUGGUAGAGACUAGAUUUCACCAUGUUGGCCAGGUUGGUCUCAAACUCCUGACCUCAAAUGAUCUGCCCGCCUUAGCCUCCCAAAGUGCUGUGAUUACAGGCGUGUGCCACCGUGCCCGGCCAUAGUGUAAAAUCUUUAUUCUUCAGUGUGGUUUAUCCCAAUUCCAAUUAUACAUUAGGUCUAAAACAAAACUCAGGCCUUGGGAAUUCCAAGCUUUGCCCUAGAGUGAAGCCCAUUCCCUUGCUGGGAUUGUUCUGGGGACAGAAGCUGCAUAGCUCACUGUCCUGUGGAGUUGAGGGAAGCUAUCUUUCCACACUGGUCCCAGCAAGGGGUGCAGGGCCGGGAGCCUAGGCUGGGAGAGUGAAGCUGGGCCAGAUAGACUCCAACAGUGACAGUCCCUGGGCUCACAGGAGGUGGCUGGCAGGACCAAGUAGGUGGCCUAAUGCCUGGCAUCAAGGUGGGGCGCUCCCGGGCUCAGCUGCCACUGAAGGUGGAGGUAGAAGAGGUCACGGUGCCUGAGGGCUUUGUCCAGAAGCUCAAUGACCACCUGCUCUUGGUGUACACUGGCAAGACCCGCCUGGCUCGGAACCUGCUGCAGGAUGUGCUGAGGAGCUGGUAUGCCCGACUUCCUGCUGUGGUGCAGAAUGCCCACAGCCUGGUACGGCAAACUGAGGAGUGUGCUGAAGGCUUCCGCCAAGAUGGGUGCUGAGUAUCUUGGCCCAGGCACGUCACUCCCCUCUGCCCCACCUCAGGAAGCCUGCCUCUGCUGGGCCAGUGCCUGACCUCGUACUGGGAGCAGAAGAAGCUCAUGGCUCCAGGCUGUGAGCCCCUGACUGUGCGGCGUAUGAUGGAUGUCCUGGCCCCCCACGUGCAUGGCCAGAGCCUGGCUGGGGCAGGCGGUGGAGGCUUUCUCUAUCUGUUGACCAAGGAGCCACAGCAAAAGGAGGCCUUGGAGGCGGUGCUGGCCAAGACCGAGGGCCUUGGGAAUUACAGCAUCCACCUGGUUGAAGUGGACACUCAGGGCCUGAGCCUGAAGCUGCUGGGGACCGAGGCCUCAACCUGUUGCCCUUUCCCAUGAAGCUGGCUUCUCUCUGCAACAGGAGAAAACCUGGAGCUACAGUGUCCCCCACCUUCCUUGCCCCAUGGGAACCUCCACCUCCUACUCCCCACCCACCUCUGCGAAUCUGCUCCCAAAGGAAGCUGACCAGAGCAAGAUCUGGGCAAGCAGAGAGUGCCUGGGACAGGACUGUGACCUGGUGGACAGGGGCCUAGAUGUAGCCUCUGUUCCUCCUGGACAUAGGAAGGUCCCAAGCUUAGUAUCCCACGUGGCCUUUACAAAUCCUAUGGCUGGCCUUCUCAUUCCACAAGGGCCCUGGAAAGGGUUGACAGCCAGCCUUGGCAUAUGGCUGGGAGUCCCUUAGCAAGGCCAACCCUGAAGAGGCCCUUUGAGGCAUUCCCUAUGGCUUAGAGUUGUAGACUUACACUCAACCCUCAUGUGAGCGUGGGAGUGAGGGUGGCGGUCCCUUGCCAAGUUGGUAGCAGUGACCCAGUGAUUCACUGCCAUCCCAGGCCUUAACUAGCAAAACUACGGAGCGUGCCAAGUGACCUGGUGCCUGUGGGAAGUGGGUUCUCAGGACUGGCAUUCUUGGAAUAA